UAAAAAAAAAAGUUGGAUUCUAGGCAGGAGGAUUAUGUUUCUGAAGACCUCUUGGAGCUGUCACAGAUUCAGCGGCACUUAAAGGUGAUACCCGUGUUCUGCGGUUGUGCUGCCGUGCUGACGGUAGGUUUAAAAGGGCAUUUCCCACCCAGUACUCUGUGAAGCACAUUUGGGCAUGUCAUGGAG
ensembl:lncRNA